rnacentral:rRNA from 1 species
CAGCCGCCGCGGUAAUACAGAGGGUGCGAGCGUUAAUCGGAUUUACUGGGCGUAAAGCGUGCGUAGGCGGCUUCUUAAGUCGGAUGUGAAAUCCCUGAGCUUAACUUAGGAAUUGCAUUCGAUACUGGGAAGCUAGAGUAUGGGAGAGGAUGGUAGAAUUCCAGGUGUAGCGGUGAAAUGCGUAGAGAUCUGGAGGAAUACCGAUGGCGAAGGCAGCCAUCUGGCCUAAUACUGACGCUGAGGUACGAAAGCAUGGGGAGCAAACAGGAUUAGAUACCCCGGUAGCCCUGUCUCUUAUACA